GUAAUUUUAAAAUACCUAUUUAAGUAAAAUGAAAAAAAAAAUUGUACUUUGCACAUAUCAGUCAUUAUUUGUCAAUAAUAAAGUACUGGUCAUUUUCCUGUUGCUAUAAUUUAAGGUAAUGUUGAUAAGCCUCUAUCUAUCCUGAAAAUGUGAAUUUAAAAAUUGGUUAUUCAAUUUGGUGUUUAUGUAAAUGUAAUCUUUUAAUUCACAGUGUAAAUGGAAAAAUGUAAACUUGUACAACUUUUAAAUAUUUCAUUAAUAUUUCCAUAUUAUAUAUAGAUUUUAAUAAAUAUGCAUACAUAAAUUGAUGGACUGCUGUACAGAUAUCUGAGGUCAUUUUAAUAUAAAAUUGAAAAGCUUUUGAUCUUAAAGUAUACAUAUUUUAAGGAUGACAUUUGAUCUGAGUACAAAAAGUAAAACAUGUAUUGAAACUCCCUGUGCAUUUCUAAGACAUUCAUAUAACAGACAUGUGGCUUUGAUUAUUAAAUUUUACUUAAAACCUUCCCAUUAAUCUAUAGUUUCUUAAUUUAAAAAGUGACUAGAUCAAUACAAUAAACAUAUGAAGGGUUAUCACACAAUUGCUACUUAAUUUUAUAUUUCAUGACCAGCAUUUUGCUUGACCCAGAGUAGAUCUCUCUAUAAACAGUAAUAAAUGAAAGCCUGAAAGAGAGCACAGAGAUAAUACCUGAAAAGAUUUAAAUGCUAUAAUGCAAACUAUUUUUUCUGUACCCUAAAAACAUUGUGCAUGAAAAUUCAGAUUUUCCAUUAUAAUUCAGCAUUCUUGAAGUUUGAACAAUCAUUGAAUCAAUUCUGACUUCUUAAAUGUUAAACAUUCUUUUAAGCAUAUGAUUAAAAUUGCUUUUUUCAAGGACGAUGAAAACUUCCAUCUUGCCAAAUCUGGUUUUUAAUCUUCUUUCCUCAACGUAAUCCAUAUAUUGGCUUGAUUCUCAAUAUUCAUGACUUUUCCAACUAUAAUUUUUUGCCUGAGAAAUGGGCAGGUGUCACAGUGUGAAUGAAUUGAACUUAAUGCACUGAUAACUUCAGUCUCCAAAGGUGACUGCUGUGAGAAUGACUGUUCCUGGAAGCAUUAAGUCCCAAAUGUACUCAUCUCCUUGCUUGCAUUAUGUCCAGCCCCAGGGCUAAUUUCAACAAGACCUGCACAUUAUUUGGUGUUAUUUCCAGUCUUCUUUCUAUUUGUUUUUCUUGUCUAUUCAAAGAAGAAUUUGCACAGCCUGAAUUAGUGAAGAGAAUGAAGGUGGAGAGGCAAAUAUCCAAUAUUAGAUAACUCACUCACAGGCCGAUUGGAUUAAACAUCCUUGACAUUGGACUUAAUAAAAAGAAAACAGGGAUCUGCACUUAAAUGCAGGAAUGAACAUAAUCUAUACACAUUAAUAUCCCAAGUGGAACCAUACACAGAAACAAGGAAAAUGAAGCAACUAAAGCAGUGGUCUUCAACCUUUCCGGCACCAGGGACCAGUAUAGUGGACGGACAUGGUGGGUGGAGGUAGGGGGGCAGUGGAUGAUUUGGGGAUGAAACUGUUCCACCUCAGAUCAUAAGGCAUUAGUUAGAUUUUCAUAAGGAGUGCACAACCCACAACCAUCGCAUAAGCAGUUCAUAAUAGGUUUGCCCUCCGAUGAGACUCUAAUGCUGCUGUUGAUCUGACAGGAGGCGGAGCUCAGACAGUAAUGAUUGUUCACCCAUUGCUCAUCUCCUGCUGUGCAGCCCAGUUCCUAAUAGGUCAGGGACCAGUACCAUGAGAACAUUACUCUCACCCACUGCUCACCUCCUGUUGUGUGGCCCAGGACACUCUCACUUUCAUUUUUUUAUUACAAUUAAUCCUUUUACUUUACACAUAUAUUUUACAUAUACUAUACAUAUUUAUAUGUGUAAAAAUAUAUAUUUUAUAUACAUCUAUAUAAAAUCUGUUACACAUACUAUAUUUAAAUAUACAUGUAUUUAAAACAAACAGAAAGACUGCUCUCUAUCUUUCAAAGGA
rnacentral:lncRNA from 10 species